AAGCAUAAUGUGCAGACAGGGCCUGCUGAGGAAGAGGACGCAGGAGGGUGGACGUGUUUGUGCACGCGUGCACCUGAGCCUAACAGGUGAGUCUGUAAAGGCAGCUUGGGACCAGCUGAGACUGAGGGUGGACUUCAGGCUCUCCUAGGAACACAGCGAUUGAGGUGUCUUGAAGCAGGGCAGUAAAUUUACCAGCUUCUUGAUGAAACAUAACUCCAGUGAUGCAGGGAUGAUACUGCUAAUAAAUGACAGUGGCUGCUAACAUCUCUUGAGCACUGCCCUUGCAGCCAGCACGAUGCUAAGCACUCAACGUGGAUAACCUCAUGUAGUCCUGGCAGCCCCCCAAUGAGGUAGCUAUGUUUUUAUACCCACUUAAGAGAUGAAGAAACCUGAGGGUCUCAGAGCAGCUCACACAGCUGGUGAGACACUGAGCCAGAAUUCACACCCAAG
rnacentral:lncRNA from 1 species